rnacentral:tRNA from 1 species
GGGCCUGGAAGCCCGGCGGCAGGGGCAGGCCCUUGGCGCGGGCCUGCUCACGCAUGGCCUCGAGGGCCUGGAUCUGCUCCUGCUGGCCCU